rnacentral:lncRNA from 1 species
AUGAGGACGAGCAGAAUAAUUAACACUUGGUUUUGCCAGAAAGGUGGAAACAUUAUCAGCAGCGUUGCUUCCUGUCAUGGCCGAAGGACGCCGUUAAUCUCAGGUCCAAUCUGUGGUCGCCCUGCAGAGGUCGCCCUGCAGAGGUCGCCCUGCAGACGUCGCCCUGCAGAGGUCGCCCUGCAGAGGUCGCCCUGCAGAGGUCGCCCUGCAGACGCCGUGCUGUGGUCGCCCUGCAGAGGUCGCCCUGCAGAGGUCGCCCUGCAGAGGUCGCCCUGCAGAGGUCGCCCUGCAGACGCCGCCCUGCAGAGGUCGCCCUGCAGAGGUCGCCCUGCAGACGCCGCCCUGCAGAGGUCGCCCUGCAGAGGUCGCCCUGCAGACGUCGCCCUGCAGAGGUCGCCCUGCAGAGGUCGCCCUGCAGACGUCGCCCUGCAGAGGUCGCCCUGCAGAGGUCGCCCUGCAGAGGUCGCCCUGCAGACGCCGUGCUGUGGUCGCCCUGCAGAGGUCGCCCUGCAGAGGUCGCCCUGCAGAGGUCGCCCUGCAGAGGUCGCCCUGCAGACGCCGCCCUGCAGAGGUCGCCCUGCAGAGGUCGCCCUGCAGACGCCGUGCUGUGGUCGCCCUGCAGAGGUCGCCCUGCAGAGGUCGCCCUGCAGACGUCGCCCUGCAGAGGUCGCCCUGCAGACGUCGCCCUGCAGAGGUCGCCCUGCAGACGCCGUGCUGUGGUCGCCCUGCAGAGGUCGCCCUGCAGAGGUCGCCCUGCAGACGUCGCCCUGCAGACGCCGUGCUGUGGUCGCCCUGCAGAGGUCGCCCUGCAGAGGUCGCCCUGCAGAGGUCGCCCUGCAGACGCCGUGCUGUGGUCGCCCUGCAGAGGUCGCCCUGCAGAGGUCGCCCUGCAGACGUCGCCCUGCAGACGUCGCCCUGCAGACGCCGUGCUGUGGUCGCCCUGCAGAGGUCGCCCUGCAGAGGUCGCCCUGCAGAGGUCGUGCUGUGGUCGCCCUGCACCACCCUUACACCCACCUGUUUGAACAGCUUCUCCCUCUCCUCUUGGGGGGACACCAGGAUCUUCUCUUCCGCUAG